rnacentral:rRNA from 1 species
GAUGAACGCCGGCGGCGUGCUUAACACAUGCAAGUCGAACGGGAAUUACUUUAUUGAAACUUCGGUCGAUUUAAUUUAAUUCUAGUGGCGGACGGGUGAGUAACGCGUGGGUAACCUGCCUUAUACAGGGGGAUAACAGUCAGAAAUGGCUGCUAAUACCGCAUAAGCGCACAGAGCUGCAUGGCUCAGUGUGAAAAACUCCGGUAGUAUAAGAUGGACCCGCGUUGGGUUAGCUUGUUGGUGGGGUAACGGCCCACCAAGGCGACGAUCCAUAGCCGGCCUGAGAGGGUGAACGGCCACAUUGGGACUGAGACACGGCCCAGACUCCUACGGGAGGCAGCAGUGGGGAAUAUUGCACAAUGGGGGAAACCCUGAUGCAGCGACGCCGCGUGAAGGAAGAAGUAUCUCGGUAUGUAAACUUCUAUCAGCAGGGAAGAUAGUGACGGUACCUGACUAAGAAGCCCCGGCUAACUACGUGCCAGCCGCCGCCGUAA